CAAAGGCUUGGUCCUGACUUUACUAUCAGCUUUAACAUAAAUUACACAUGCAAGUAUCCGCAGCCCUGUGAGGAUGCCCUUAAUCCCCCGCCCGGGGACGAGGAGCAGGCAUCAGGCACAACACCUUUAGCCCAAGACGCCUUGCCAAGCCACACCCCUAAGGGAAUUCAGCAGUGAUAGACAUUAAGCCAUAAGUGUAAACUUGACUUAGCCAAUGUUAAGAGGGCCGGUAAAACUCGUGCCAGCCACCGCGGUUAUACGAGAGACCCCAGUUGAUAGACACGGCGUAAAGGGUGGUUAAGAAGAGUAAAAAUUAAAGCCAAAGGGCCUCUUGGCCGUCAUACGCUCCCGAGCGUCCGAAGUCCAAUAAACGAAAGUAGCUUUAACACAGCCCGCCUGACCCCACGAAAGCUGAGAAACAAACUGGGAUUAGAUACCCCACUAUGCUCAGCCGUAAACCCAGACGUUAUCCCACAACAGACGUCCGCCAGGGUACUACAAGCGUAGCUUAAAACCCAAAGGACUUGGCGGUGCCUCAGACCCCCCUAGAGGAGCCUGUUCUAGAACCGAUAACCCCCGUUAAACCUCACCACUUCUAGUCAUUCCCGCCUAUAUACCGCCGUCGUCAGCUUACCCUGUGAAGGACUAACAGUAAGCUAAAUGAAUAUAAUCCAAAACGUCAGGUCGAGGUGUAGCGCACGAAGUGGGAAGAAAUGGGCUACAUUUUCUAUUAUAGAAUAUUUACGAACAGUACCCUGAAAUAAAUACUCAAAGGAGGAUUUAGUAGUAAAAAGGAAAUAGAGCGUCCUUUUGAACCCGGCUCUGAGGCGCGUACACACCGCCCGUCACUCUCCCCUGUCACACAGCAACAAACGUUCAUAACACCCAAGCACUGACAAGGGGAGGCAAGUCGUAACAUGGUAAGUGUACCGGAAGGUGCACUUGGAUCAAACC
rnacentral:ncRNA from 1 species